rnacentral:tRNA from 1 species
GGGCCCUUAGCUCAGUCUGGUUAGAGCGCUCGGCUCAUAACAAACGCCGGUAGGUGCCGGGUUUGAGGGAUACCGAGUGGUCGAUGGUUCGAAUCCGUCAGGGCCCA